GCACUUUCAGUAGGGAGGAAGGUAGUGUAGUUAACACCUGCAUUAUUUGACGUUACCUACAGAAGAAGCACCGGCUAACUCCGUGCCAGCAGCCGCGGUAAUACGGAGGGUGCGAGCGUUAAAUCGGAAUUACUGGGCGUAAAAGCGCAUGCAGGCGGCCUGUUAAGUCAGAUGUGAAAAAGCCCGGGCUUAAACCUCGGAAAUUGCAUUUGAAAACUGGCAGGCUAGAGUCUUGUAGAGGGGGUAGAAUUUCAGGUGUAGCGGUGAAAAUGCGUAGAGAUCUGAAGGAAUACCAGUGGCGAAGGCGGCCCCCUGGACAAAGACUGACGCUCAGAUGCGAAAGCGUGGGGAGCAAACAGGAUUAGAUACCCUGGUAG
rnacentral:rRNA from 1 species